CGGACGGGUGAGUAACACGUGGGUAACCUACCCAUCAGAGGGGGAUAACACUUGGAAACAGGUGCUAAUACCGCAUAACAGUUUAUGCCGCAUGGCAUAAGAGUGAAAGGCGCUUUCGGGUGUCGCUGAUGGAUGGACCCGCGGUGCAUUAGCUAGUUGGUGAGGUAACGGCUCACCAAGGCCACGAUGCAUAGCCGACCUGAGAGGGUGAUCGGCCACACUGGGACUGAGACACGGCCCAGACUCCUACGGGAGGCAGCAGUAGGGAAUCUUCGGCAAUGGACGAAAGUCUGACCGAGCAACGCCGCGUGAGUGAAGAAGGUUUUCGGAUCGUAAAACUCUGUUGUUAGAGAA
rnacentral:rRNA from 1 species